GCAAGGCAAAUUUAAAUAAAUUACACGAACUCCAGUAGCUAGCGUUACCAGCGCGAGUGUGCAUUUAUCUCCUCCAGAAUGGUAGAAUGGCCAAAGCUGUCGAAAAUGUUGUGGAUUUUUUGGGUUGAAGAACCAUUUUCAUUCUCUGGGGUACACGGAAAAGGUGCGAAUUAAAAGCGAGGGUCGACCUCUGCUUGAGAUCAGUUUCAUGAAGAAGAAAGAAAGAUGGAUCGUAAUGAUGAGAGAAUAAAAAGAGCUUUAAGACGCCGCCCUUAUGUGUUGAAACCAGUGAGGGUGAACAGCCCUGAUUCCGUGUUGUGGCCAACCGGCAAGGUGCACAGAAGGCCAAAGCCUUCUACUUCAGUGCAGACCCCUCAGAUCCACAAAAGGCCUCCAAUCAUUGUGAGCUAUGGGCAGGACCAAACAUCUGGGGAUGGAUGGAGCGUCAAUCCAGAGCCUCUCAGCCAGGUCAGACAUCUCUGCUGUU